rfam:Rhynchosporium commune strain TK7 genome assembly, contig: RCO7_scaffold015
GGGCGAUUGGUUUAGUGGUAUAAUACCUCUUUGUACGUCUCCUCUUCCUCGUCUUAGCAAGGACAACUACUAAUUCCAAACAGAGCAUAGAAUAAAUAAAACCGUUCUAACUAGAGGUGGUCCAGGGUUCGAUUCCCUGAUCGUCCA